UGCAGAAGUACUUUUUGUCCUCCCAACAGCAAGUAACGGCUAGUUUUUGAAAUCUAACCAAUGGGGGGUAUCCAAAUGGAUGAGGAAAACUAUUUAAAGGGACACUAUUCAUCAGAGAAAAGUAUCCUUUUGCAAAAGAUCAAAGAUUACUCAAGAAAGACAAAAGCCCUAAUCUUCUUCAUCCAAGUGCUUCACUCAAGAGUCAAAAGAAAGUGGUAGAGCAGAUUCUAAGCAACAUUAAGAGCUCCAUCAACCCUUGAAGAGUGAAGCAAUCUUGACAAAAAAGAGAGAAGUCUCAUCAAGCGAUAACUAUAUUCUAAACUCUUCUUUGUAGCUUAUAAUUGUUAUAUUUGCUCAUCUCGGAGUUUCAAUCUUCUUCUUCUCUUUUAAUCACCUUGUAAAGGUUUGUUGGUGAGCCCGUAAAACCAACGGUGUAGGUUUAUUGGUGAACCCGUAAAACCAAUUGUGAAGGUUUAUUGGUGAGCCCGUAAAACCAACAUAGAUUUUUGGUGAUCCCGGAAAACCAAAGUGUAAAGGUUUUUGGAUUGUAAGCCCGGAAAACAAUACAACUGUAAUCCGCAGAAUUAUAGUGAAUUUCCAAGGGAUCACUUGGAAAGUGGACGUAGGUGCUUAGGAGAGCACCGAACCACUAUACUUCUUGUGUGUUUGCAUUGUGUAUUGUUUUAACUUCACUCACUCAUCGAUUGACUAAAUUAAGAUUGU
rnacentral:lncRNA from 1 species